AUAUAUUUGCCACUAAACCUAAACUCUACACCAUAAAUCCCAAAACCUAAAAUCUAACCCCUAAACCCUAAAUCUUAAACCCUAAACCCUAAAUCUUAAACCCUAAACCCUAAACCCUAAACCCUAAACCCAUAACUUUAAAAC
rnacentral:sRNA from 1 species